rnacentral:rRNA from 1 species
UCCUGGCUCAGAUUGAACGCUGGCGGCAUGCCUUACACAUGCAAGUCGAACGGCAGCGGACCUUCGGGUGCCGGCGAGUGGCGAACGGGUGAGUAAUAUAUCGGAACGUACCUUCAGGUGGGGGAUAACGUAGCGAAAGUUACGCUAAUACCGCAUAUUCUGUGAGCAGGAAAGCAGGGGAUCGCAAGACCUUGCGCUGAUUGAGCGGCCGAUAUCAGAUUAGCUAGUUGGUGAGGUAAAGGCUCACCAAGGCGACGAUCUGUAGCGGGUCUGAGAGGAUGAUCCGCCACACUGGAACUGAGACACGGUCCAGACUCCUACGGGAGGCAGCAGUGGGGAAUUUUGGACAAUGGGCGCAAGCCUGAUCCAGCCAUGCCGCGUGAGUGAAGAAGGCCUUCGGGUUGUAAAGCUCUUUCGGCCGGGAAGAAAUCGCACAGGUUAAUACCCUGUGUGGAUGACGGUACCGGAAUAAGAAGCACCGGCUAACUACGUG